rnacentral:rRNA from 1 species
GUAGGGAAUUUUCGGCAAUGGACGAAAGUCUGACCGAGCAACGCCGCGUGAGUGAAGAAGGUUUUCGGAUCGUAAAACUCUGUUGGUAGAGAAGAACGUUGGUGAGAGUGGAAAGCUCAUCAAGUGACGGUAACUACCCAGAAAGGGACGGCUAACUACGUGCCAGCAGCCGCGGUAAUACGUAGGUCCCGAGCGUUGUCCGGAUUUAUUGGGCGUAAAGCGAGCGCAGGUGGUUUAUUAAGUCUGGUGUAAAAGGCAGUGGCUCAACCAUUGUAUGCAUUGGAAACUGGUAGACUUGAGUGCAGGAGAGGAGAGUGGAAUUCCAUGUGUAGCGGUGAAAUGCGUAGAUAUAUGGAGGAACACCGGUGGCGAAAGCGGCUCUCUGGCCUGUAACUGACACUGAGGCUCGAAAGCGUGGGGAGCAAACAGGAUUAGAUACCCCUGUAGUCC